AUACGGAGGGUGCAAGCGUUACUCGGAAUCACUGGGCGUAAAGGGCGCGCAGGCGGUUUGGUAAGUCAGAUGUGAAAGCCCACGGCUCAACCGUGGAAGUGCAUUUGAAACUGUCAGACUUGAGUACCAGAGGGGAAAGUGGAAUUCCCGGUGUAGAGGUGAAAUUCGUAGAUAUCGGGAGGAAUACCGGUGGCGAAGGCGACUUUCUGGCUGGAUACUGACGCUGAGGCGCGAAAGCGUGGGGAGCAAACAGGAGUAGAUACCCCAGUAGUCC
rnacentral:rRNA from 1 species